rnacentral:rRNA from 1 species
UACGUAGGGACCAAGCGUUGUUCGGAUUUACUGGGCGUAAAGGGCGCGUAGGCGGCAAUUCAAGUCACUUGUGAAAUCUCCGAGCUUAACUCGGAACGGUCAAGUGAUACUGCUUUGCUAGAGUGCAGAAGGGGCAACCGGAAUUCUUGGUGUAGCGGUGAAAUGCGUAGAUAUCGAAGAGGAACACCGGAGGUGAAGACGGGUUGCUGGGCUGACACUGACGCUGAGGCGCGAAAGCUAGGGUAGCAAACGGG